UUCCGGUUGAUCCUGCCGGAGGCCAUUGCUAUUGGAGUCCGAUUUAGCCAUGCUAGUCGUACGAGCUCAUACUCGUGGCGAACAGCUCAGUAACACGUGGCCAACCUUCCCCUCAGCGACGGACACCCUCGGGAAACUGAGGCUAAUCCGUCAUACCCCUCUCACGCUAGAAUGCCGAGAGGUCAAAACGCUCCUUUGUGGGCGCUGAUGGAUGAGGCUGCGGCCGAUUAGGUAGACGGUGGGGUAACGGCCCACCGUGCCCAUAAUCGGUACGGGUCGUGAAAGCGAGAGCCCGGAGACGGAAUCUGAGACAAGAUUCCGGGCCCUACGGGGCGCAGCAGGCGCGAAACCUUUACACUGCACGCCAGUGCGAUAAGGGGACUCCAAGUGCGAGGGCAUAUCGUCCCCGCUAUUCUGUACCGUAGGGUGGUACAGGACCAAGGGCUGGGCAAGACCGGUGCCAGCCGCCGCGGUAAUACCGGCAGCCCAAGUGAUGGCCACUCUUAUUGGGCCUAAAGCGUCCGCAGCCGGCCUCGCAAGUCCGUCGGGAAAUCCAGUAGCUCAACUACUGGGCGUCCGGCGGAAACUACAAGGCUUGGGACCGGAAGGCUCGAGGGGUACGUCUGGGGUAGGAGUGAAAUCCUGUAAUCCCGAACGGACCGCCGAUGGCGAAAGCACCUCGAGAAGACGGCUCCGACGGUGAGGGACGAAAGCUAGGGCCUCGAACCGGAUUAGAUACCCGGGUAGUC
rnacentral:rRNA from 1 species